GAUGAACGCUGGCGGCGUGCUUAACACAUGCAAGUCGAACGAAGCACUUUAUUUGAUUUCCUUCGGGACUGAUUAUUUUGUGACUGAGUGGCGGACGGGUGAGUAACGCGUGGGUAACCUGCCUUGUACAGGGGGAUAACAGUUGGAAACGGCUGCUAAUACCGCAUAAGCGCACGGCAUCGCAUGAUGCUGUGUGAAAAACUCCGGUGGUAUAAGAUGGACCCGCGUUGGAUUAGCUAGUUGGUGAGGUAACGGCCCACCAAGGCGACGAUCCAUAGCCGACCUGAGAGGGUGACCGGCCACAUUGGGACUGAGACACGGCCCAAACUCCUACGGGAGGCAGCAGUGGGGAAUAUUGCACAAUGGGCGAAAGCCUGAUGCAGCGACGCCGCGUGAGCGAAGAAGUAUUUCGGUAUGUAAAGCUCUAUCAGCAGGGAAGAUAAUGACGGUACCUGACGAAGAAGCACCGGCUAAAUACGUG
rnacentral:rRNA from 1 species